AGUGAACGCUGGCGGUAGGCCUAACACAUGCAAGUCGAACGGCAGCACAGUAAGAGCUUGCUCUUACGGGUGGCGAGUGGCGGACGGGUGAGGAAUACAUCGGAAUCUACUUUUUCGUGGGGGAUAACGUAGGGAAACUUACGCUAAUACCGCAUACGACCUACGGGUGAAAGCAGGGGAUCUUCGGACCUUGCGCGAUUGAAUGAGCCGAUGUUGGAUUAGCUAGUUGGCGGGGUAAAGGCCCACCGAGGCGACGAUCCGUAGCUGGUCUGAGAGGAUGAUCAGCCACACUGGAACUGAGACACGGUCCAGACUCCUACGGGAGGCAGCAGUGGGGAAUAUUGGACAAUGGGCGCAAGCCUGAUCCAGCCAUACCGCGUGGGUGAAGAAGGCCUUCGGGUUGUAAAGCCCUUUUGUUGGGAAAGAAAAGCAGCAGGUUAAUACCCCGCUGUUCUGACGGUACCCAAAGAAUAAGCACCGGCUAACUUCGUG
rnacentral:rRNA from 1 species